GAUCAAGCGAACAAGGGCGUAUGGCGGAUGCCUUGGCACUAGACGCCGAUGAAGGACGCGAUAAGCUGCGAAAAGCUACGGGGAGUCGCAAAUAGACUGUGAUCCGUAGGUGUCCGAAUGAGGGAACUCACCAAUGUUAAUCCAUUGGUAUCCAUACAUAAAUUCAUAGUGUAUGGAAGGGAACCUGGGGAACUGAACCAUCUAAGUACCCAGAGGAAAAGAAAGUAAAAAAACGAUUACCUGAGUAGUGGCGAGCGAAAGGGUAAGAGCCCAAACCUAGUAUAGUAAUAUAUUAGGGGUUAGGACCUACAAUAAAGUUGAAUAUAUAAAUGUAAUUGAAUAUGUUUGGAAAGGCGAACCAAAGAAGGUAAAAGUCCUGUAGAUGAAAUAUUUAUAUAACGAUGAGUAGGAAUCCAGAGUAGCACCGAGCACGUGGAAUUCGGUGUGAAGGAAGGAGGACCAUCUCCUAAGGCUAAAUACGAUCUAGUGACC
rnacentral:rRNA from 1 species